UCAGCGGAGAAGCGACAUGGUGUCGCUAAAGAUGCAGAAGCGGCUCGCCGCGAGCGUCCUCCGUUGCGGCCGCCACAAGGUGUGGCUCGACCCUCAUGAGGUGAACCACAUCGCCGUCGCCAACUCCAGGGAAAGCAUAAGAAGGUUAGUGAAGGACGGAUUAGCGGUAAGGAAACCUACAAAGACUCACUCACGGUCUCGAGCACGGCGAGCGCUGGAAGCCAAGCGGAAGGGAAGACACUCGGGAUAUGGUAAGCGAAGGGGUACAACGGAGGCUCGGCUCCCGGCAAAGGUGCUGUGGACGAGGAGAACGCGUGUGCUACGGCGUUUAUUGCGCAGGUACAGGGAAUCCAACAAGAUCGAUAAGUAUCUGUAUCAUCAUAUGUACAUGAAAGCGAAGGGUAAUGUCUUCAAGAACAAGAGGGUGCUGAUGGAGAGCAUUCACAGGAUGAAAGAUGACAAGACCAAGAGAAGGGAGUUUGCAUGACCUUCCACUUAGUAUAUCGUGCGUGUCAACAAUGUUGUAUAUUGUUUGGUUGGAAGCAUAUUUAUUUAUACUACUCCACGUAGCCUAAUUAAACUUCAGGUACUUAGAAACCGCAGGCAUUCCCCAAACAACCCCCCUUUAUACCAGAC